rnacentral:misc_RNA from 1 species
AAAUGCGGUAAGUAGUGUGAAUUGCAGAAUUCAGUGAAUCAUCGAAUCUUUGAACGCACAUUGCGCCCCUUGGUAUUCCAUGGGGCAUGCCUGUUCGAGCGUCAUUUGUACCCUCAAGCUCUGCUUGGUGUUGGGUGUUUGUCCCCGUCUCCGCGCGUGGACUCGCCCCAAAGUGAUUGGCAGCCGGCGUACUGGUCCCGGAGCGCAGCACAUGUCGCGCAAACGAGUGCCUUGGUACGGCGGCGUCCAUAAGCCCCUCUCUCACGCUCUUGACCUCGGAUCAGGUAGGGAUACCCGCUGAACUUAAGC